rnacentral:rRNA from 1 species
AGCGAAUCGCAUUAGCCUUUGUGCUGGCGAUGGUACAUUCAAAUUUCUGCCCUAUCAAUUUGAUGGUAGGAUAGAGGCCUACCAUGGUUUUUACGGGUGACGGAGAAUUAGGGUUCGAUUCCGGAGAGGGAGCCUGAGAGAUGGCUACCACUUCUAAGGAAGGCAGCAGGCGCGCAAAUUACCCAAUCCUGAUACAGGGAGGUAGUGACAAGAAAUAACAAUACAGGUCCCAAUACGGGCCUUGUAAUUGGAAUGAGUACAAUUUAAACCCCUUAAUGAGUAACAAUUGGAGGGCAAGUCUGGUGCCAGCAGCCGCGGUAAUUCCAGCUCCAAUAGCAUAUAUUAAAUUUGUUGCAGUUAAAAAAGCUCGUAGUUGGAUCUCGGAACAGGGAAUAACUGGUCUGCCGGUUGGUAUGUACUGUUGUUCCCGUUCUCUACUGAUGGAAACUUAUCUCUACUCUUAAAUGAGCGGAGAGUAGAUCAGUAGAAUGAAUGUGUUUUCGAACUUCAUUCAUUCAAUUACU